rnacentral:rRNA from 1 species
AUUGAACGCUGGCGGCAGGCUUAACACAUGCAAGUCGAGCGGUAACAGAGAGAAGCUUGCUUCUCUGCUGACGAGCGGCGGACGGGGGAGUAAUGCCUAGGAAUCUGCCUAGUAGUGGGGGAUAACUUGCCGAAAGGUAAGCUAAUACCGCAUACGUCCUACGGGAGAAAGGAGGGGACCUUCGGCCUUUCGCUAUUAGAUGAGCCUAGGUCGGAUUAGUUAGUUGGUGAGGUAAUGGCUCACCAAGACCGCGAUCCGUAACUGGUCUGAGAGGAUGAUCAGUCACACUGGAACUGAGACACGGUCCAGACUCCUACGGGAGGCAGCAGUGGGGAAUAUUGGACAAUGGGGGAAACCUGAUCCAGCCAUGCCGCGUGUGUGAAGAAGGUCUUAGGAUUGUAAAGCACUUUAAGUUGGGAGGAAGAGUAGUUAACUAAUAUUUGACUGUUUUGACGUUACCGACAGAAUAAGCACCGGCUAACUUCGUGCCAGCCGCCGCCGUAA